UGGGGAAUAUUGCACAAUGGGCGCAAGCCUGAUGCAGCCAUGCCGCGUGUGUGAAGAAGGCCUUCGGGUUGUAAAGCACUUUUGUCCGGAAAGAAAUCCUUGGCUCUAAUACAGUCGGGGGAUGACGGUACCGGAAGAAUAAGCACCGGCUAACUACGUGCCAGCAGCCGCGGUAAUACGUAGGGUGCAAGCGUUAAUCGGAAUUACUGGGCGUAAAGCGUGCGCAGGCGGUUUGCUAAGACCGAUGUGAAAUCCCCGGGCUCAACCUGGGAACUGCAUUGGUGACUGGCAGGCUAGAGUAUGGCAGAGGGGGGUAGAAUUCCACGUGUAGCAGUGAAAUGCGUAGAGAUGUGGAGGAAUACCGAUGGCGAAGGCAGCCCCCUGGGCCAAUACUGACGCUCGUGCACGAAAGCGUGGGGAGCAAAACAGGAUUAGAUACCCUGGUAGUCCACGCCCUAAAACGAUGUCAACUAGUUGUUGGGGAUUCAUUUCCUUAGUAACGUAGCUAACGCGUGAAGUUGACCGCCUGGGGAGUACGGUCGC
rnacentral:rRNA from 1 species